UUGAACGCUGGCGGCAUGCUUUACACAUGCAAGUCGAACGGUAACAGGCCUUCGGGUGCUGACGAGUGGCGAACGGGUGAGUAAUGCGUCGGAACGUACCCAGAGGUGGGGGAUAACGCAGCGAAAGCUGUGCUAAUACCGCAUGUGAUCUGAGGAUGAAAGCGGGGGACCGAGCAGCAAUGUUUGGCCUCGCGCCUUUGGAGCGGCCGAUGUCGGAUUAGCUAGUUGGUGGGGUAAAGGCCUACCAAGGCGACGAUCCGUAGCUGGUCUGAGAGGACGACCAGCCACACUGGGACUGAGACACGGCCCAGACUCCUACGGGAGGCAGCAGUGGGGAAUUUUGGACAAUGGGCGCAAGCCUGAUCCAGCAAUGCCGCGUGCGGGAAGAAGGCCUUCGGGUUGUAAACCGCUUUUGGCAGGAACGAAACGGUGUCCGCUAAUACCGGGCGCUAAUGACGGUACCUGCAGAAUAAGCACCGGCUAACUACGUG
rnacentral:rRNA from 1 species